UACGGAGGGUGCGAGCGUUGUCCGGAAUCACUGGGCGUAAAGGGCGCGUAGGCGGUGCGGGUAGUCAUCGGUGAAAGCUCAGGGCUCAACUCUGAAUCGGCCGGUGAUACUCCCGUGCUCGAGCACUGUAGAGGCAGGUGGAAUUCCGGGUGUAGCGGUGAAAUGCGUAGAGAUCCGGAAGAACACCGGUGGCGAAGGCGGCCUGCUGGGCAGUAGCUGACGCUGAUGCGCGACAGCGUGGGGAGCAAACAGG
rnacentral:rRNA from 1 species